GCCCAGGUGGUGGAAUUGGUAGACACGCUAGAUUUAGGCUCUAGUGCCGAGAGGUGUGCGAGUUCGACUCUCGCCCUGGGCACCA
rnacentral:tRNA from 2 species